GGUGGUUUGUUAAGUUGGAUGUGAAAGCCCCGGGCUCAACCUGGGAACUGCAUCCAAAACUGGCAAGCUAGAGUACGGGAGAGGGUGGUGGAAUUUCCUGUGUAGCGGUGAAAUGCGUAGAUAUAGGAAGGAACUGCAGCGGCGAAGGCG
rnacentral:rRNA from 1 species